AAACCAACAGGGAUUGCCUUAGUAACGGCGAGUGAAGCGGCAAAAGCUCAAAUUUGAAAUCUGGCACCUUCGGUGUCCGAGUUGUAAUUUGAAGAAGGUAACUUUGGAGUUGGCUCUUGUCUAUGUUCCUUGGAACAGGACGUCACAGAGGGUGAGUAUCCCGUGCGAUGAGAUGCCCAAUUCUAUGUAAAGUGCUUUCGAAGAGUCGAGUUGUUUGGGAAUGCAGCUCUAAGUGGGAGGUAAAUUCCUUCUAAAGCUAAAUAUUGACGAGAGACCGAUAGCGAACAAGUACUGUGAAGGAAAGAUGAAAAGCACUUUGAAAAGAGAGUGAAAAAGUACGUGAAAUUGUUAAAAGGGAAGGGUAUUGAAUCAGACUUGGUGCUGUUGUUCAACCAUGUUUCGGCAUGGUGUACUCAGCAGUACUAGGCCAAGGUGGGGUGUUUGGGAGUGAAAAAGAAGUAGGAACGUAACUCUUCGGAGUGUUAUAGCCUACUUUCAUAGCUCCUCAGGCGCCUCAGGACUGCGCUUCGGCAAGGACCUUGGCAUAAUGAUUCUAUACCGC
rnacentral:rRNA from 1 species